UAUGGUCAAAAGUACGUAGACGCCUGAACAUUAGACCCACGUUACUGGUCAACGUCUCAGUCCAAAAGUAUCUGCUGCUGUGACGCCUCCGCUCUUCUAGGAAGGACUUUAACAAGAGUUUGGAAACUGGCUGCAGGGAUUUACUCCCUUUCAGUCACAAGAGCAUUAGUGAGGUCAGCCAAGUGUCCUGGCUCGCAGCCCGCGCUGUAGUUCAUCCAAAGUGUCAGCCCAGCAGGUGAUGCGUCACAACCUCCUGUAUCACUUACCAUGAGGUCACUCUGUGCCAGACCCUCCAGUGGGAUGGAGCUGAAGACCCGGGCUUCAUGGCUGCCCUGCUCGGCUAUCUCUCCGCCCUCAUCCGUCAGCUCCCAGUGCUUAGAGGAGCGCAGCUCGGCUGAGAUCAACUGGACGGACAGAGGAGAGAAAACAUGUUUGACUGACAUCUCUCGUCUCUUUAAAACUGUCGUUAUUGCAUCAGUCACGCUCAAUGAACACUGUUGACGGUGACAGUCGGACUUCCGCCGCCCCUCA